rnacentral:rRNA from 1 species
UACGUAGGGUGCAAGCGUUGUCCGGAAUUAUUGGGCGUAAAGAGCUCGUAGGCGGUUUGUCGCGUCGGCUGUGAAAACUCGGGGCUCAACCCCGAGCCUGCAGUCGAUACGGGCAGUCUAGAGUGCUGUAGGGGAGACUGGAAUUCCUGGUGUAGCGGUGAAAUGCGCAGAUAUCAGGAGGAACACCGGUGGCGAAGGCGGGUCUCUGGGCAGUAACUGACGCUGAGGAGCGAAAGCGUGGGGAGCGAACAGG